ACCCGCACCGCUCCCGUAACGCCGCCGGGCAGCGAGGAGAUUCCUGCCUGGGAAGCCGGAGAGAACUGACAGACACGGGCAGGCCUGCGGGUAGACGUGAUAGCGGCCUUUCGGCGCCUGAAGGGGAGCUAAUCCCACCCAAUUGUUGGUGUAUUCUUCAGCUUCUCCCUCUCUGCCACCAAGGGUGAUGUGUUGCCAGGUAGAAAAAGCGGCAAGCCUGGGCCUUUCACAGGGACAUCAGCCUCAUCUCACACAAGCUGGAUCCAGCUUCUGCUGUUUUGCAAAAGGAGUCAUCCCAUCUGGGAUGGCCAGUUUUCCAAACGCUUGAAGGAACACUGCUGGAGCUACUAUUGUAUCAAUCAGACCAAACAGUCUUAAGUUUCAGAGCUGAAGAGAGGAUUGUACAGUCACCUAGGAGGCAUUAGGAUUCUCAGUUUGGCAUCAAGAAGAGAAGCAAAGGCAUUCAUUCUGUGGCACAGCCGUACAAACUAGCAACACUGCAACCAUUUGCUAGUGAAAGUCACCUGCUCAGAUGCAGAAAGCAGAUGCUGUUUCACACCAUGCUUAAUGCACUGACAUAAUAUGCCUGCAAGUCACAGAACAAGAGACUGUGGCUUGUGUGCACAGGCAUGACAGGAACCUCACUCUGGUCCCAAGUAUGAUUUAAAAAGUCACAACAUUAAGUUACUUGAACAACUGAAAAGGCUUUAAUUUAUGCACAGUAAAAAUACAAACAAGUGGUUUUACAUUUGAUUAACAGCGGUUUUCUACACAUUAGUACUUGU